rnacentral:misc_RNA from 1 species
UUAAGUAAAAGUCGUAACAAGGUCUCCGUUGGUGAACCAGCGGAGGGAUCAUUAUCGAGUUUAUAACCCCCAAACCCUAUGUGAACUUACCACUUGUUGCUUCGGCGCGCGCUUCGGUGCCGCCGAGGACACUUAAACUCUUUGUUUUUAUAAGCAUUUCUGAGUGGCCGAAAGGCAAAAUACAAAUGAAUCAAAACUUUCAACAACGGAUCUCUUGGUUCUG